UACAGAAUGGGCAAGCGUUAAUGAUCUUAACUGAGUGUAAAGCGUACGCAGGCGGGUGCUAUUGGUAAGACUAGGGUGAUAAUUACUGCGGAGUAGGUAGACAUUCCUAGUACCGGGCAUCUAGAGGUAGAGAGAGAUCAGUUAGUACGCAUCAGUAAUGAUUUAGUAAAUCUUAGAUCUGAUGAAGACUACCAAGAGCGAAGGCCUCUGGUCAGCUCUAACCUGACGCUCAUGUACGAAAGCUUGGGUAGCAAAGCGG
rnacentral:rRNA from 1 species